rnacentral:rRNA from 1 species
UACGUAGGGUGCAAGCGUUGUCCGGAAUUAUUGGGCGUAAAGAGCUCGUAGGCGGUCUGUCGCGUCGGCUGUGAAAACUCGAGGCUCAACCUCGAGACGUCGGUUGAAACCGUACGGCUAGAGUCCGGAAGAGGAGAGUGGAAUUCCCGGUGUAGCGGUGAAAUGCGCAGAUAUCGGGAAGAACACCCGUGGCGAAGGCGGCUCUCUGGGACGGUACUGACGCUGAGACGCGAAAGCGUGGGGAGCGAACAGG